GCAUUAGAGAAUGAGAGGAUAAUGAUGGACAGGACGUGGAGAGAGCGAGAAGAACAAAGAAGAAUGAGAGAAGAAGCUAGGGCAGAGAAGAAGGACGCACUAAUCACAGCACUUCUAAACAAGCUUAGAAGAGAAGAAAUUUAAAUCAAGCNNNNNNNNNNNNNUGUUUUGAAGAAGAAGAAGAAGAAGAAGGAAAGCUUUGAGAGAGGAGAGAGAGGUUUGUCCCUGAAACUCUCAUUUUGGAGAUGUUAUUGUUCUUUAGAUAUGUGCUUUCCACUCCAUUAUCAUCUCUCUCCCUUCUCUCAAAGCUUUCUUGCCCACUUUGUGGCUACUUUUGCUCAGUAGGAUCAAUUAAAAAGCUUCAAAUCUCUCUUACAAUAUAUGAUUGUUUAUUUGCUCUUCUAUGAUCUUAAUCAUGAAAGUUCUGUUAUCA
rnacentral:misc_RNA from 1 species